rnacentral:misc_RNA from 1 species
GAACAAUGGCGCUGUCUUAAGUGGCACAGUGGAGCAGCUCUGAAGAUGCAAAGAUACACGAAAAAACUUCCAGAACAUCUGGGAGAAUAUUUAAUGGAAAAUCGCUUGGUUAAAACCUGACACUUUUAACAGUGAACAGCGUUCUGAGUGUGGACGAGUAGCCAGUGAAGAUAAUGAAUGUCGAAUGUGACUGACUAGCAGCUUCAUUUUGAAUGAGGGUCGCUGUCUGCCCAUUGAUAGAGGCCAGAUUGUCUUGGAAGUUCCAAAGUUGCAACGAUUUCUGGCUAGUGCCACGAGGUUUACUUGACUGUUGUGUGAAAAGCUGAUAAGAAAACCAUCCAGAAAAAAGCUCUUCGUUU